rnacentral:SRP_RNA from 1 species
AAGCAACAUUGACAAGAAAUUAAAAAAUGGGUAUACUCAAUAAUACCGCAAUCAUUGUAUUGGUUGGCAUCGUUAUAGCUGCCCCGGAUAAGUGGCGCUUAAGCUUGGGUCUUACGCGACGGAAAUCUACGAACCGUGUCAGGUUGGGAACAAAGCAGCACUAAGAAGAACCUUCCGGGUGCCGUAAGGCAACCUGAGCCCAGCUAACUGUCCGGGUAACGUGUAGCGAUGUCAACCAAUGCAAUGGUUGCUU